CCUACGUGAGGCAGCAGUGGGGAAUAUUGCGCAAUGUGCGAAAGCCUGACGCAGCGACGCCGCGUGAGGGAUGAAGGUCUUCGGAUCGUAAACCUCUGUCAGCAGGGAAGAACGGUCACUGUGCUAAUCAGCAGUGAAUUGACGGUACCUGCAAAGGAAGCACCGGCUAACUCCGUGCCAGCAGCCGCGGUAAUACGGAGGGUGCGAGCGUUAAUCGGAAUUACUGGGCGUAAAGCGCUCGUAGGCGGUAUGUCAAGUCAAGGGUGAAAUCCCCGCGCUCAACGUGGGAACUGCCUUUGAAACUGGCAAACUGGAGUGUGUGAGAGGAUAGUGGAAGUCCAGGUGUAGGAGUGAAAUCCGUAGAUAUCUGGCGGAACAUCAGUGGCGAAGGCGACUAUCUGGCACAUAACUGACGCUGAGGAGCGAAAGCGUGGGUAGCAAACAGGAUUAGAUACCCCAGUAGUC
rnacentral:rRNA from 1 species